rnacentral:rRNA from 1 species
CCUACGGGAGGCAGCAGUGGGGGAUAUUGCACAAUGGGGGAAACCCUGAUGCAGCGACGCCGCGUGGGUGAAGAAGUAUUUCGGUAUGUAAAGCCCUAUCAGCAGGGAAGAAAGAAGACGGUACCUGACUAAGAAGCCCCGGCUAAAUACGUGCGAGCAGCCGCGGUAAUACGUAGGGGGCGAGCGUUAUCCGGAUUCACUGGGUGUAAAGGGAGCGUAGACGGCCGUGCAAGCCAGGAGUGAAAGCCCGGGGCCCAACCCCGGGACUGCUCUUGGAACUGUGCGGCUGGAGUGCGGGAGGGGCAGGCGGAAUUCCUGGUGUAGCGGUGAAAUGCGUAGAUAUCAGGAGGAACACCGGCGGCGAAGGCAGCCUGCUGGACCGCGACUGACGUUGAGGCUCGAAAGCGUGGGGAGCGAACAGGAUUAGAUACCCCUGUAGUC